rnacentral:rRNA from 1 species
UACGGAAUGUGCAAACGUUAUUCGGAAUCACUGGGCUUAAAGAGUCCGUAGGCGGCAUGUUAGGUGAGGUGUGAAAUCCCCCGGCUCAACCGAGGAAUUGCGCUUCAAACCGGCGUGCUCGAGGAAGAUAGAGGUGGGCGGAACUGAUGGUGGAGCGGUGAAAUGCGUUGAUAUCAUCAGGAACACCGGAGGCGAAGGCGGCCCACUGGGUCUUUUCUGACGCUGAGGGACGAAAGCUAGGGGAGCGAACGGG